UUUUUCAUAAGCUCUUGCAUGUGACUCAGUUUUGUUUUAAGUUGAAUUUUUCUUUUGAGUUUCCAGCUUUCUUCAUUUGUAGUACAUCUGAGUAAAUUUUACAUUGGUCUUUCCAGGUUUUUUUAUUUAAAAUAAUUUUAUGUUUGCUGGUUUUCUGCAUGUUUCUUACGCUUUCUCUAUUUUUUGCUAUGCCUUGUUUACUUCUGUAUUGUCUUUUUCAAACUGCCUUGUUAUGUGUUACUGGAGCCGAGGGUCUUUCGGAAACAGCCUCUAUCUCCACAAGGUAGGGGUAAGGUCUGCCUACACUCUACCCUCCCCCAACCCCACCUGUGGGAAUACACUGGGUAUGUUGUUGUUGGUUUUCUGCAUGUUUUAUAAGACAUUAUGGUGCAUCAACUCCUGGCAAGUAAGGUCUAUGUAUGUCAUAUGGAAACAAGGUAUCUAUAACCGGAAGGAACACAAAUGAAGCAGGGAAUUAAAUCAAAAGAAUAUCUGCAAAGAGAUGAACCCAUCCUUCCCGAAGAAUAGAGUAUCUAAUGCAAAAACUAACUAGCAACCUCGUCCUUUAAAAAUGUUUAGUUUAUAUAUA